AUUGAACGCUGGCGGCAGGCUUAACACAUGCAAGUCGAGCGGGGGAAGGUAGCUUGCUACCGGACCUAGCGGCGGACGGGUGAGUAAUGCUUAGGAAUCUGCCUAUUAGUGGGGGACAACAUCUCGAAAGGGAUGCUAAUACCGCAUACGUCCUACGGGAGAAAGCAGGGGAUCUUCGGACCUUGCGCUAAUAGAUGAGCCUAAGUCGGAUUAGCUAGUUGGUGGGGUAGAGGCCUACCAAGGCGACGAUCUGUAGCGGGUCUGAGAGGAUGAUCCGCCACACUGGGACUGAGACACGGCCCAGACUCCUACGGGAGGCAGCAGUGGGGAAUAUUGGACAAUGGGGGGAACCCUGAUCCAGCCAUGCCGCGUGUGUGAAGAAGGCCUUAUGGUUGUAGAGCACUUUAAGCGAGGAGGAGGCUACUUUAGUUAAUACCUAGAGAUAGUGGACGUUACUCGCAGAAUAAGCACCGGCUAACUCUGUGCCAGCCGCCGCAGUAA
rnacentral:rRNA from 1 species